rnacentral:rRNA from 1 species
GUGAUGGCGAUUAUCUGGGCCUAAAGCGUCGUAGCUGGCCCUGCAAGUCCGUCGGGAAAUCCACUCGCCUAACGAGUGGGCGUCCGGCGGAAACUACAGGGCUUGGGACCGGAAGACUUGAGGGGUACGUCUGGGGUAGGAGUGAAAUCCUGUAAUCCUGGACGGACCGCCGAUAGCGAAAGCACCUCAAGACGACGGAUCCGACAGUGAGGGACGAAAGCUAGGGUCUCGAAC